AAAAUUGGUUAUGAUGUGCUGGAUCACUGGACAUUCAGUCCAGAAAAACAAUUAUGUUUUACUUGUAAACAAAAUUUACUUAUGUCGAUACACAUACUAGUAUUAAACUCAACCAAGGGAGUCGAAAUAUAGCAAACAGAUUAUCAAACUCAUAGGUCGAAAAUAAAGUGACAAAACAAUGGCAAAAAAGAAAAAGACAGUAGCAAUCAACAGUAUACACAACAUAAUCUAGAUGACUAAAACUGAGCAACAC
rnacentral:lncRNA from 1 species